UUCACCAGGAACAGUUUUCACCUUGACAACAGAAAGUCUAGCUGGAACGAUCAUCGGUUCAUUUCUAGGGGGCGUUCUUGUAUCAGUGAUUGCAUUUCUUAUUGGAAAUAGCAUCAGGAGGGGACAACUUUGCGGAAAAGUUCCAGAUGUUAAAGCAGACAUUAAUGAGACCCCACCCAGCUCUUAUGAAAAUGUGCAUAACAUGAAAACAAUGGAUAACGGUCCUUCUCUUCCAAGUCCCAGUACAGAUCAACAUUACAUGGGUCUGCAGCAUGGAAAGCAGUCAAUCUACCACUCCCUCCAAAGAAAAAUGCCAGCUUAGGAAAAGAUGGAGAAAUGUUUAUAUUGGGACCGUCAUUUGUGAUCACUGACAGCUUAUUCAGUGG